rnacentral:lncRNA from 1 species
GUGUGACUGGAUCCCUGGGUCUUCCUUUAUCACUGUUCAUAAUGAUAUUAUCCUCUUCAGACACAGUUCAGUGAUCAAAGCAAGUCACCCAGCUAUCUCGAGCUUCAAAAAAUGCCUUCAAGAUGUCUUUUCAGAGGUUUAGUCCAUUAUCGUCAUGGCAGCAUGCAGGCAGACAUGGUGCUGGAGAAGGAGCUGAGAGUUCUGCAUCUUGAUCUGCAGGAGCAGAAAGAGACUAUGAGUCACACGGGGCAUAACUAGAGCAUAUAUAAAGCCUGUGCCCACAGUGACACACUUCCUCCAACAAGGCCACACCUAAUAGGGCCACUCCCUGUGAGCCAAGCAUUUAAACACAUGAGU